GAUGAACGCUAGCUACAUGUCUUAACACAUGCAAGUCGAGGGGCAGCAUUUCAGCUUGCUUGCAAACUGGAGAUGGCGACCGGCGCACGGGUGAGUAACACGUAUCCAACCUGCCGAUAACUCGGGGAUAGCCUUUCGAAAGAAAGAUUAAUACCCGAUGGUAUAAUUAGACCGCAUGGUCUUGUUAUUAAAGAAUUUCGGUUAUCGAUGGGGAUGCGUUCCAUUAGGCAGUUGGUGAGGUAACGGCUCACCAAACCUUCGAUGGAUAGGGGUUCUGAGAGGAAGGUCCCCCACAUUGGAACUGAGACACGGUCCAAACUCCUACGGGAGGCAGCAGUGAGGAAUAUUGGUCAAUGGGCGCAGGCCUGAACCAGCCAAGUAGCGUGAAGGAUGACUGCCCUAUGGGUUGUAAACUUCUUUUAUAUGGGAAUAAAGUUUUCCACGUGUGGAAUUUUGUAUGUACCAUAUGAAUAAGGAUCGGCUAACUCCGUGCCAGCAGCCGCGGUAAUACGGAGGAUCCGAGCGUUAUCCGGAUUUAUUGGGUUUAAAGGGAGCGUAGGUGGACAGUUAAGUCAGUUGUGAAAGUUUGCGGCUCAACCGUAAAAUUGCAGUUGAUACUGGCUGUCUUGAGUACAGUAGAGGUGGGCGGAAUUCGUGGUGUAGCGGUGAAAUGCUUAGAUAUCACGAAGAACUCCGAUUGCGAAGGCAGCUCACUGGACUGCAACUGACACUGAUGCUCGAAAGUGUGGGUAUCAAACAGG
rnacentral:rRNA from 1 species